GACGAACGCUGGCGGCGUGCCUAACACAUGCAAGUCGAACGCUUCUUCCCUCUCGAGUGCUUGCACUCAAUUGGCGAGAGGAGAAGCGGACGGGAAAGUAACACGUGGUUAAGCUAACCAUCAGGGGAGGAUGACACUUGGAAACAGGGGCUCAUACCGCAUAACAGUUUAUGCCACAUGGCAUAAGAGUGAAGGGCGCUUUCGGGCGUCGCUGCUGGAUGGACACGCGGUGCGUUAGCUAGUUGGUGAGGUAACGGCUCACUAAGGCCGCGAUGCAUCGCCGACCUGAGGGGGGGUUCGGCCACUGUGGGACUGAGACACGGCCCAGGCUCCUACGUGAGGCACCAGUAGGGACUCUUCGGCAAUGGACGGAAGUCUGCCCGAUCGGCGCCGCGUUAGUGAAGCAGGUCUUCGGAUCGUAUGACUCUGUUGUUAGUGAAGACCAAUGACGUCAGUAACUGAACUUCUCCUGACGGUAUCUAACCAGAAAGCCACGGCUAACUACGUG
rnacentral:rRNA from 1 species